UUUUCACCAACGAAUACCUAAAUUUAGGGAGCAUUUACGGAACACUUAAUAAGAAUUUCAUUUUCACCAAAGCCUAGGUGUCAAAUUAUAACCUUAAAAUUUGACUUCAACUUGGGGGCCCGAUUGAUGCCUGCUUAAACAACCCCUAUCAUUAUCAUUACAGAAUACAAACAUAUUUUGAACCGUGGAUAGUGAAAUGUACCUUUAUAUGUUAACUAACACCAAAAAUACCAUGUUUAAAAAGCAAAAAAAUACAAAAAAAAAAAAUGAAACGUAAACUUUUAGAAAGUUUAGAAGCUGUGGAGGUUGUGGAUAUGUAAAAUAAUAAUCAUUAGAAGACCAUGUACCUAUCUUACGUGAAAGAGCAGAUGACUGAGAAAUAAGUACGAUGAUCAUGACUUUUUUCUAAGACUAGCCGUUUUCCCGCGGUUUCACCCGCGUCCCGUGGGAGCUACUGCCCGCACCGGGAUAAAAUAUAGCCUAUGUUACUCGCAGAUAAUAUAGCUUUCUAAUGGUGAAAGAAUAUUUAAAAUCGGUCCAGUAGUUUUUGAGUUUAUCCAUUCCAACCAAACAAACAAACAUUUUCCUCUUUAUAAUAUUAGUAUAGAUAUAGAUUAUAGGUUAUCACUUGCUAUGAAUGCACUUGCUAGGUCGUGAUGUCGCUGAAUUAUUCAAAAAUAGGUAGUCCUGCAUGUCCAUAAAUAUACAGACCAUAACAGAUGCAAAUCUGGUAAUCACUGAUGUAGUUUCGCGGUGGCCGGGACAUCUAUAGGCCUAUUCAGACCUAAGCGGUAUUCGCUACCGUCUACGGCAGAGAAAACCCUGUGGGUAUGCGGUAAUAUGACUGUUCAGACCUAAGCGGUAUUCGCUACCACCUGCGACAGAGAAAACCCAGUGGGUAUGCGAUAAUAUUACUGUUGAUGUUCGGGACGUAUGCCGCUGCUGCCGCGCGGUAUGUACUUCUACCCACAGCGGCAGUGAAUAUCGCUCAGGUUUGAAUUGGCCUUAAAUACCAAAACUGCAGUAGAUACCAAUGAUUCGAAAAUGGUGAAUAUGGAGGAGCCUAUCUAUUAGGUGAUAGGGGAUACCCUCUGGAGGUAAGAAGUAGGCUAAUAUUGAACAUAAUAAAAUAUAUAAAUUAAAACAAAGAUAGUAAACAAAUAUUUUAAUAUUAGUCCUCAUAUGAUGUACCAAACAUUAUCAUCAUCCUCCUGCACCAAUUCAAUUUGAGGUGGGCUGGGCGCAGCAUGUUUUUACACGUCUUUCCAAUUUCUCGCACCACCUGAAACUAAAUAAAUAUAAUAAAUGUAUAAUUUUAACCCCAUACUUAAAUCCAUCAACUCAUGGAGAACAAAAAUACAAUGAAGUCGACAGUAAAACAAGGAACACAGUUGUACGGCAAUAUCUUAUAUUAUUAUACACAGAUAUUAUUCACAUUUACCUGUAAACGGUUCCUAUCGCAUUAAAACUAUUUGUAACUGGAUCCAAGCUUUGUUUUUGGCUUCGUUCGUGGUCCCAUCCGUUUUUUGUUUAAUAUUGUGUCUCUAUGAGACGUCAGCAAUUUCACUAGCUUGUCUUUUUCUUCU